rnacentral:rRNA from 1 species
UCAUCUACCUCUUUUGUUGGGGGAAGUAAACCAAGGGAAAACCGGUGGCUAAUACCGCAUAAGCUCGAGAGAGGAAAGUCGAAAGACGCAGAGAGAGGAGUCCGCGGCUGAUUAGCUAGUUGGUAGGGUAAAAGCCUACCAAGGCGAAGAUCGGUAGCCGGCCUGAGAGGGCACACGGCCACACUGGCACUGAAACACGGUCCAG